rnacentral:tRNA from 1 species
AGUCGCGAUCAGAAUGAAUGGUAGUUCGCUGGGCCUGUCUUUUGCUCCCAGAGGUGCUGGUUCGAAUCCAGCUCGUGACA